rnacentral:tRNA from 1 species
CCGAGUGGUGCAUAUGGUGAAUGCGCUCAGCUGCUAACUGAAAGGUGGUGGUUCAAGCCCACCCACAGGCA